AACGAACGCUGGCGGCGUGGAUUAGACAUGCAAGUCGUACGAGUUUCAUCUGUGUAACUGGAUGUAAAAAGUGGCGAAAGGGGCAGUAAGGCAUGGAUAAUCUACCCUGAUGACCGGGAUAGCUGUCCCAACGGGCAGGUAAUACCGGAUGAGCUGGUGGGGCCGCAUGGUUCUGCCAGGAAAGGCGCAAGCCGUGUCGGGAGGAAUCCAUGUGAUAUUAGCUAGUUGGUGAGGUGAAGGCUAACCAAGGCGAAGAUGUCUAACGGGUGAGAGAGCACGAGCCGCGCCACUGGCACUGAGAGACGGGCCAAGUACCUACGGGAGGCUGAAGUCGGGGAUCUUCGGCAAUGGGCGAAAGGCUGACGGAGCGACGCCGCGUGAGCGAUGAAGGCCAUUAGGUUGUAGAGCGCUGUCGAGGGGGAACAAGCCGCCAGGUUGAGUGAUCCCUGGAGGAAGCACCGGCUAAGUUCGUG
rnacentral:rRNA from 1 species